GAUGAACGCUGGCGGCGUGCUUAACACAUGCAAGUCGAACGGUGAAGGCGGAGCUUGCUCUGCUGGAUCAGUGGCGAACGGGUGAGUAACACGUGAGCAAUCUGCCCCUGACUCUGGGAUAAGCUCUGGAAACGGCGUCUAAUACUGGAUACGAGCUGCGAAGGCAUCUUCAGCAGCUGGAAAGAACUUCGGUCAGGGAUGAGCUCGCGGCCUAUCAGCUUGUUGGUGAGGUAACGGCUCACCAAGGCGUCGACGGGUAGCCGGCCUGAGAGGGUGACCGGCCACACUGGGACUGAGAGACGGCCCAGACUCCUACGGGAGGCAGCAGUGGGGAAUAUUGCACAAUGGGCGAAAGCCUGAUGCAGCAACGCCGCGUGAGGGAAGACGGCCUUCGGGUUGUAAACCUCUUUUAGCAGGGAAGAAGCGAAAGUGACGGUACCUGCAGAAAAAGCGCCGGCUAACUACGUG
rnacentral:rRNA from 1 species